GGGGUUGUGGCUCAGAGGUAGAGUGCUCACCUAGCAUGUGUGAGGCACUGGGUUUGAUCCUCAGCACCACA
rnacentral:tRNA from 1 species